UACGGAGGGGGCUAGCGUUGUUCGGAAUUACUGGGCGUAAAGCGCACGUAGGCGGCUUUGUAAGUUAGAGGUGAAAGCCCGGGGCUCAACUCCGGAAUUGCCUUUAAGACUGCAUCGCUAGAAUUGUGGAGAGGUAAGUGGAAUUCCGAGUGUAGAGGUGAAAUUCGUAGAUAUUCGCAGGAACACCAGUGGCGAAGGCGGCUCACUGGUCCGAUACUGACGCUGAGGUGCGAAAGCGUGGGGAGCAAACAGG
rnacentral:rRNA from 1 species